rnacentral:misc_RNA from 1 species
UACGUAGGUGGCAAGCGUUGUCCGGAAUUAUUGGGCGUAAAGCGCGCGCAGGCGGUUUCUUAAGUCUGAUGUGAAAGCCCACGGCUCAACCGUGGAGGGUCAUUGGAAACUGGGGAACUUGAGUGCAGAAGAGGAAAGCGGAAUACCAUGUGUAGCGGUGAAAUGCGUAGAUAUAUGGAGGAACACCAGUGGCGAAGGCGACUUUCUGGUCUGUAACUGACGCUGAGGUGCGAAAGCGUGGGGAGCGAACAGG